AACGCGAAGAACCUUACCCAGGCUCGAAAUGGUGAGCGCGACUGCAGAAAUGCAGUCUCCCGAAAGGGGUUUACUAUAGGUGCUGCAUGGCUGUCGUCAGCUCGUGCCGUGAGGUGUUGGGUUAAGUCCCGCAACGAGCGCAACCCUUAUUGUCAGUUGCCAACGCGUAAUGGCGGGGACUCUGGCAAGACUGCCUAGGUUAACUAGGAGGAAGGUGAGGAUGACGUCAAGUCCGCAUGGCCUUUAUGUCUGGGGCAACACACGUGCUACAAUGGUAGGUACAGAAGGCAGCGAAGCCGCAAGGCGGAGCAAAUCCGAAAAAGCCUAUCUCAGUUCAGAUUGGAGUCUGCAACCCGACUCCAUGAAGUUGGAAUUGCUAGUAAUGGCGUGUCAGCACAGCGCCGUGAAUACGUUCCCGGGCCUUGUACACACCGGCUAC
rnacentral:rRNA from 1 species